CGGGUGAAAUCUGUGCAA
rnacentral:misc_RNA from 1 species